UCAAGCGGCAAAGUUUUAUAGCCCGAUAAAUUUCCCUGCACUCUUCUCUCCAAAUUCUGAAUUGAAAGCUGCAUCGUGUUCUUCUCUCCGUCGGGUUGGGUAGUUUGAAUCAACGACUCCAUCGGUUAUCGACUCCAACUCCGUCGGUUAUCGACUCCGACUCCGACUCCGACUCAUAUCGACUUCUCCUCUGUUCCUAUUGGCUUCUUCUUCUUCUCCAACGAAUUACUUGAUUAGGGACCCUUGGACUCAUGGAAAGUGAGCAACACAACUAAGUUGUAAUGACAUGCUAUAGUAGAGACAUUGCUACACAGGUGACAUGCUAACAUGUUUAUUUGGAUUCUCAUUUUUCUGGUUUAGUCUUGUUUGGCAUUGAAAACCUCACAGACCUAUUGAAAUGUAAAACAAAGUGUGUUUGUAACUUCAUAUCACCUAGUACACCAUAACUAUUUGCUAAACUUAUUGAAGCCAUAUCCCAACCUUGUGUGAGGUGAUGUUCUAGAGCUAGAUUUGUUUCUCUCUCUUUUUUAUAUAAGAUGUUUGGUCCUUCUGUUAGUAUAGUUCGACAUUGCUAGCAUUUAUGGGAUAUGUGAUGUAUAAACAUAUGGACAUGGAGCCAUUUUAGCGGAUUAGAAAAUGACCAUAUGUUCUAGUAAUCAUAAGGCCUUUACUUUUCUUCAUUUCUCUGUUUCGGUUACCAACUAAAGAGACAAAACUUGGUCAUAUUGAUACGUUUCUUUCUGACAUAAUAUGUAUCCAUAUCUCUCAUUGUUCAUUUUCUUUAACACUCUUCAAUGCUGUGAUAUAUCUCAUAUCAUUCAGUAACAUCUUAUUUGGUAUCUAUCCUCUGCGGUUUGUUGUUCUUCUAGUAUAUUCGAUUGGUGGAACAGUGAUCAGUGUCUUUAUUGGAAGGGUAAGUUAUCUGUAACUCAUCUAGCAAAAAUUUGUUUCCAUCGGUAUGUAAUGGUAUCUCUGGCAAUAAGAGAUGAUGCCAACUUGAUUUGAUGAAACUAUGUUAUCUUUGUUUUCAUGGUUUGGUGACAUUAAAUUUCUUGCAAGAGAAAACGGAAGCAGAUUUUCAUUAUGGACUUGUGCGCGUUUGAGAAAAUGCUGAAUCGAUAGCUUUCUAUAGUGGUGAAGCCAAAGAAAUGCAACAUUUGCUUCAAUGCUUCAAAAGUGCUUUUGAGAAUCUGACUCAAUUGUUGAUAGCUUCCAGAAAUCUUGAGUUUUUCACCAGUGGAUACUGCUAUCUUAUUCAAAUUCUUCCUGCUGCUGCCGUUGCUCCUAUGUACUUCUCUAGAAAAAUUGAGCUUGGUGUCAUUAAUCAGUCAGUAUCGGCUUUUAAUCAUAUCCUGGGGGACUUCUCCCUCACCGUGUACCAAUUUCAGUCUAUAAGUGCAUUUUCAGCAGUAAUUGAUCGACUUGAUGAAUUUGAUGAUUAUUUGGAUAUCAGCUCUCAACGCCAUCUGACCCUGCAGAAGGGAUAAGUCUUACGUAUAGUAAUGUUAAAACUUUAGCUGAACUGAAGCCAAAUGGAUGCAUACCCAUAGAUAAGCAACAAAAGCUACUGGACAUAGAGAAUUUGACUGUGCAAACACCAAGUAGCACUACAUUGAUUAGGGAUUUAUCAUUGGUAAUCAACAAUAAUGAGAAUCUAUUGGUGACAGGACCUAGCGGGAGUGGUAAGACUUAUUUGUUAAGAAUUUUGGCUGGUCUUUGGAGUGCUGGAAGAGGAAAGAUCACAUUCUAUGUGGAAGAUGAAGAAGAGCUUGUACCAUCCAAUUCUCCAGGUGUAGGUCCUCUUGGUACUGCUAAUGAUAAAUAUGGGGAACAUGAAAGACCCUCAAAUAGGAGUUAUAAGGGCAUAUUUUUCGUUCCUGUGAAGCGGAAAGACGAGCAAUGCAGCUUGCAAAUGAAUUGAUGGCUGUGAAGUCUACUACAGCUCAGCAAAAUGAGGAGUUAGAGACGGUCAAAGCUGGUGCAGCUCAACAAAAUGAAGAGUUAGAGGCAGUGAAGGUUAGAGCCGCUCAACAAAAUGAAGAGCUGGAGGUACUAAAGGCAAGACAAAAUCAGACUGACACACUUUUACUCAAAUUGAUGGCGUAGUUGUCCUCCCAAAAAUGAAGAUAUACACAAUAUGUACAGGUGCAACAUUGAAAAAAUUGGCAGAUGAAAAGGGCAUCAAGCAACAUACAUAUCAUUGAAGGCUUAUUGAACUUCUAGAAAGACUUGUAUGUAUUUCUUUUUAUUUUGAAAUGGCUAUCAAGGAUGGAUAUUGAUAUUUGUAUAUUUUGGAUUUAGAAAGUUAGUAUUUCAAGAUGGAGGUUGAUGUUUAUUAUUGGACUGAUAUAAUCAACCCUUGUUAAGCAGCAGUUUUACAGUACAUUUUCA